GCGGCGGUUUCCAGGACCUCAGACUUUGCCGAGGCGGCAGUCCCUAGGCGAAGCGAAGUAGGCGGUGCCUGCCCCGCCCCACAAGAGCUGCCGCGCGCGGGUGUAAUAGCUCCACCCCAUCUGCAAAGGAAGGGGGAGCGGAAAGAGCGGGAUCUAGCGUGGGAUAAAAGUGGGACUACUACAGUGUAACUGGGCAUGCGCCCCUCCUAGAAAUGAUGGGACUGCAAAAGCCUUUAACUGCUCCAGGACUGGAGGGAUCCUCGGUGCCAGGAUGCUGGGUCAAGCGCUCCGCGGGGACAGAGAACUGAUACCAGGGGAAUGGAGCCCAGCCUCGUGAUAAACUACGACCCAAGCUAGGGGAGGAACCUAGCUUUCGAAAGGAAAAAAUAAUAUGCGCAAGCUUUCACUGAGCAGUAGGAUGGUCUAAGUCAGAGGAAACAGAUGACUUGAGGGGCUCUACAAACUUUUAGUUCCUUCCCACAACCCCACCCCCUGAGCCCAAGUCGUGGCAGCAUCCUUCCAGUCGGCCAGUCCCCUUGCUGCAGUUCAUGAAAACUGGCACUAUUCUAUGGCUUCCCCCAAAUAACCGUUACUUCAGUUAAUUACAAACAAAACAUAAAUGGUUCCUGA
rnacentral:antisense_RNA from 1 species